GAUCUCCACCAGUCUACCGAGUGCCUU
rnacentral:piRNA from 1 species